GGCGACAUGGCCGAGCGGUCUAAGGCGCUAGAAUCAGGCUGUGGAGAAGUAGUAUCUAUCACCUUAUCUAGUCCUUCGGGGCGUGAGUUCGAAUCUCACUGUCGUCA